rnacentral:ncRNA from 1 species
CAGGAUAGCUGGCGCUCUGUCGCAGUUUUAUCUGGUAAAGCGAAUGAUUAGAGGUCUUGGGGGCGAAACGCCCUCAACCUAUUCUCAAACUUUAAAUUGGUAAGAAGCCCGACUCGCUCGUUUGGAGCCGGGCAUGGAAUGCGAGUGCCAAGUGGGCCACUCUUGGUAAGCAGGACUGGCGAUGCGGGAUGAACCGAACGCCGGGUUAAGGCGCCCGACGCGACGCUCAUCAGAGCCCACAAAAGGUGUUGGUUGAUAUAGACAGCAGGACUUACCAUUAUCUUAUUGGACUCACUACCUUGGUAAUGCAAUUUUCCUAAUAAGUCAUCAGGAAAGAUGUUCAGAUCUUCUUUAUUGUU